rnacentral:rRNA from 1 species
UUUUAACGGCCGCGGUAUUCUAACCGUGCAAAGGUAGCGUAAUCACUUGUCUCCUAAAUAGAGACUAGUAUGAACGGCUAAAUGAGGACAAACCUGUCUCUUACAACCUAUCAGUGAAACUGAUCUCCCUGUCCAAAAGCUGGGAUAUUAACAUAAGACGAGAAGACCCUGUGGAGCUUAAAACCAACUACUAACAAACUGACUAUAGCACAACUAGUAGGAAUUUUAAGUUGGGGCGACUUCGGAACAAAACAAAACUUCCGAGCACAGAACCACAAGUUCUAACCGAGGCCAACAGGCCAAAGCAAGGACUGACCCAGUAACACUGAUCAACGAACCAAGUUACCCCAGGGAUAACAGCGCUAUCUUCUUCAAGAGUCCAUAUCGACAAGAAGGUUUACGACCUCGAUGUUGGAUCAGGACACCCAAAUGGUGCAGCCGCUAUUAAUGGUUCGUUUGUUCAACGAUUAACAGUCCU